CACAUUGCCUGUCCAUCGCAUGACCAACAAAGACAAAUCAAGCUGUGCUCACAUAUUAUUCUUUAAAGAAAACAACCAAAAACUGGGCAAACGAGUCUUUAAACCAGUGUUAAACUGUUGUUUAACCCAACUGACUGGUUUAUCUGACACGCCCUCACAAGAUGUAACGCUUAGAUUAAAUUUUCAAUCCAGUCAACAGUAUUUUUUUAGGUUGUCCAUCUCCGUUGAGCCACAGCAAGUUCCACUUGAAGUUUAAACACAUCCACUGAAAAGUAUUUUACCAAAAGUAAGACUCGGGUAAACGAAAAAGUAUCUCGUUAGCUGGUGAUUUUUUUCCUCACCCAUUUGUCACACUAGCAAGCUUAACUACAAAUCCAGCCAAUACUCCAUGUUAAAUGACUAAGGAUUACUGUAUAAUAAGUCACACUGAUAGAAGCAAAUACAAAUAAAAUUAUCCAUCAUUGGCUCAGUGUUAUUAGUGAUUAACAGAUUCAUUUAUCUUUCCAGGACAUGCUACACCUGAUCCAGACCCCCAAAGACCACUUUAGACUUUAUAGCAUGGGAUUCUGUCCUUUUGCCCACUGGACCAGAUUAGUGCCGUAUACAAAAUGGAUCAGGUAUGACAAAUCAACAUCAACAUGAAAUAUGAAUCUGAGUGGUUCAUUGAGGGAAAACCCUCCUAGGGUUGUCCCGACACUGGAGACACCUGCUGGUGAAGUGAUGUACAGGUCUUCACUUGUGAUUACUUGGAGGAAAUGAAGAAGCUGCUUCCAUCCUCCCCUUAUGGCAAAGCUCAACAGAAAAUGAUGCUGGAUCAUUUUUCCAAGAGAGAAGUAAAGAUGAGCAUGUCUUAGGACUGGAAGCUGAACUGAAAGGAAAGUUUGUCAUAUUAAAUGAGAUGAGUUGCAGAGUUGAAAACUAAAUUGGACCGACAUAAAGUAUCUUGUAGAGUUAAAACUUUCUUUAAGCCACAUCAACUAAUCAAUGUGGCCAGUUUUUGAGAGUUUUGAAAUCUUGAGGAUGAAAAAGUGAGUC